rnacentral:lncRNA from 1 species
AUCAUUGUAAACAAGCUGAGCAAGAGUUGUUUUACCCAUCCCUCCCAUGCCGACGAUGGAAAGGACUGAAACUCCGUUGGAGUUAUCACCUUUGAGAAACUCAAUCAUUUCUGUCUUCUCCUUGUGUCUGCCAACAUACUCCACAACUCCAUCCAGUAAGGAAGUUGGUUGCAGCCUGGGUUGCUUUCCCUUGGAGGUUGCAGCUUGAGACAAAAUCUCAUUCAACCCCAAACUACUUCUUCGUGUAGUCAAACUAUUCAGUGUAUCAGUGAUGUCUUUCACCUUCGUGAUCAUGGAAUUCUUAAACUGAAAAGAAGUGGGAGGCAAAAUACUACGAAUAAUCCUUUCAGGAAUGAAUUUCCGUAUCUUACUAGGUCUGGCUUGAGCUUGAGUGUCUUGGAGAUUGAGGCGUAACUCUUCAUAAGCGAACUCGUCCAGGAUGUCAUCCACAUCGUAAGCCAAGUCCUGGAGAUCCUCCAACCAUUUCUUCACACCCAUGUUCUUGAUCUGCUUCUCCUCUGCAUCGUCCAACACUGCUUGGAUAUCAGGCAAUAUGGACUGCCACUGCUUGAGCUGCUCGUGGAGUUGGUAGUGAUCAGCAACAAAGUUGAGUGCAGAGUCAAGCGAUUUGCCCACCAACAGGUCCAGGAACCCAGAAAGAGCAGCCUCUCCAAUGACAGACAUGGUGGAAUUGUGAGAAAUAAGGUGACAAGAGAAAUGAGCAAAGACAAAAUGGAAAGUCAGGAACAAAAAAGAAAGAAAGGGAAAUGGAAUAUGCAAAAUUAGAGAAAGUUGAAGAAAUUAGCACAAUAUCCUUGAAGCAUGUAAUAUAAUAAUUCAGACUAUGAAGCAAUGAGUUGGAAGUCAUUGGGUACAGAUAAAGAAGCUGCUUUUCGUGUUAAUGGGAAAUGAUGGGACCUUUGCUUUUGAAUUUUGAUGCUCUUCUUUUCACUUGCUUUUGGUCUUUGCUUUUGCUUUUUGCUCUUCUUUUCACAACUUUGUCGCCAAAAUAUAGCAAACACCAAUACUCAAAAUUUUUGAAUCACAAAUAUUUACAGUAUUUAGCAUAUAAAAAAAUCAGAAAUUAAAUGAUAAUUUUUACUUUUUUAUAAUUUUAAUAGUAUAUAUCUUUAUAAAAUUUAAAAAAUUAAAUAAUAUUUUUAUCAUUUUUAAGGGAGUAAAGUAUAAUUUUAUAUUUAUUAAUUUAAAAUUUUAAAAUAUUUAAAUAGCCUAAAUGAAAGUUUUUCUAUUUUAGAGGACUUUGUCAACCCCUAAUUACGCCCGAGAUUGAUUGUAGUUAUAUUGUUAAUUGACUUACUAUUUUACUAUUUAUACUAUUAUUUAAGUUUAUGACUAGUUGAUGUUAAGAGUUUAUCGAGUAUCAACUUAGUUAAAGAAAAUAUGAAAAUGUCACUCUAGUCUUUUUAUGAUAAAAAAAUAAAAAUAUGUGCAUAUAAUGGGAUUUUGAACCCAUACUAAUUACAUUAAUAAAAUUAUUAAUUUACCACUCAACUAAAAUUUUAAUUUUUUUAUACAUUUUAAUUUUAUUGUACACACUUUAUUGUUAAUUAAUUUCAAACCUUAUGCUUUAAUUAUUUAUUGUAUGUUAUAUUCUAAAUAUAUGAUUUCCAAACAUACGUGUGUGAUAAGUAUACUAAUUAUAACCUAUAUUACUAAUUGUUGUACUAAUUUAUGAUUUGCUUUCUUACUAGAUCCGUUAGCCAAAUUCAAAUUACCUUCCUUUUAGAUCAAUUAAUUGACUUAAACCUAACUCAAUUAUAUUUCUUUCUAGAGUUAUUAACCAAAAUAAUCGACCGAACCGAUUAAACGAGAUUGUUUCUAUUAUUAUAUUUAUGAAAUCAUGAUCGUUUAGUUAUUGGUAUAUUUUUGUUGGGGUUAGGUUAAUUUAAUUUUCAAUUUUCUAAACUAAAAUUUACAUCUAGAUUUGAUGAUGAUUGCUUGUCCACAGUUCAUGGGUUUCAAUUAUACCAACCUAUUCUAUCUUCUUUUUUCCCUAAUGCAUGUGAGAUCUCUUUUUCUUUUCCUUAGCAAAGUAUUUAGGGUCUCUCUUUUUUGGUCAAAGUAAUCUUUAUCUUUAAUAAAAUAAUUUAAAAACCCUAAUCACUUCUCCAUAAUUGAUGGAACUUACAAGUAUAAUUAACAAAAAUAAAAAUACAAUUAUAAAUAAUUUAUGUCUCACCAAUUAUAACUAGAAUCAACUUAAUAUAGAAUACAAUAAGACUAAAAUCUAAUUAAAUACAAACAAAUAACAUUAAGAGUGAAAUAUAGGAAAGAACCCACACAUAAUAUUUACGUAUUAUGAAACUCAAACUUGGGCUCUCGAGGCCCAACAAAUCUCAUUGGCUCAUAAGCAAAUAUUUUAAUGUAUCACAAAUUCAUUACUGAAUCAGUACUCUAGAAAUUAGUUAUUCUUAAGUUGAAAGAUUUGUAUGUAUAACAAAUUUAUAUAGUUUUAGAGAAGAAGAUGGAAGAUGGCCAAAUAGAAAGGGCCAUUGCAAGGAUGAUAGUGAAGUUCCAGUUCCUACUGAGUUUCUGGUAUUAAAGAUGAUAGACAAUGUGGAAGGGAAACUAUUGAACUGGUCAUAUUGAAGAAAUAGUAGGGUGAUUAUAACCAAAGUGUAUUAAGGGUGGGACCUUGGCUUUUGAAUUUGAUGAAAUCUCUCUGCCAUUUCUGAAAUUCCAAUUUUCCUUUAAGGAAAACGAUGACGACGAUGCCAAUCUAAUUCCCAUUCAAUUAAACCCUGAUCUCGAUCACAAUGCCAUCUAAUGCCUAUAUAUCAAGUUAUUAUUUCCAUUCACUUUAAAGCCUAUUGUAGUUUUGGUUCAAUUUAAUAUUGCCAUUAAACAUCAUGAUUAAUUGACACAAUAUAGCAACCACACACGUCCUACUUUCUUUUGGGGUUGAAAACAUCACUGUAAAUGCAAAAGGAGAGAAGGUGAAGCCUUUCAAAUUCUCCACAUGCCAAAUGGUGCUGACAUGUCAGAUGGGCUGAUGUGGCAUACUAUGUUAGAAAAAUUAUAAAAAUAUUUUAAAAUUAAUAAAACAUAUAUAUACAUUUAGAAUGAAUCUGGACAUAUGGUUAUCCAAAUUCAAAUGAAUUUGGACAAAACAAAUAUAGCCUUUAUACCAAAGCAAUUAGUUUUAUAUUAGAGGUAUUAGAGUUUAGGUUCUAUUUUGUUAAUCUACUUAUACAUGUUAUCUAAUAUGUUAAUUUUGUCUCAAAUUUGAAAAUAAUUGGUGCUCAAAAUGAUUCAAAUCCAAGAUGACAUAAAUUUGAGAUGACCCUAUUUGAAAAACUUAUAUGGUCGUAAUCCAAAAUGGCUCAAACAUGAAACAACUUAAACCCAAAAUUGACCCGAACCAUAAUGACUCUCUAUUUAUAGCAGUAACAGAAAGGAAAAAUAGUAAAUAUGAAAGGGAAAAAGAGUAAAAAUCGUAGGGUUACCAUUUCCGUGCAACAGUAAAAAAUAUAUUUUGUUGCCAAAAUUUUCGCAACUGUCAAAAAUCGAAAAAUGUUUUAAAGAAAUUAUUUUUUGAAAAAUAAUAUUGAUUAAAAUUAGAGAUAAAUUAUGGACGAAAAUAUUGAAUUAUUUCAAAUGAUGAAGAGCAACUUUAAUAAUGUAGAGGGACUGGGUCGGUGUACCGAGGAUGAUACUUCGAAGGCUACUCUCAGAAGAGUCGAUCUGUAGCUCAAGUGGUACCAUAUACCUCAACAAUUGACCUAUAUUCAAUAGGUUAAGGGUUCGAAUCUCAUCAAGGGUGAGACUCUCAUGUCGCCUCUUAGUGGUGAUUGCAAGUCCACAUACGGUCAAGGCACCCCUUUUUGUGAGUAGUACAUGGCUCUCCACGGAGUGGGGGACAAAACCCUCUCACAGGGGAUAAUACCUUCUGUUAUUGAGACACUGGAUCGGCAUCCUCAAAGACGGCACUUCAAAAACUUCUCUCGAAUAAGCCGUCCCCAUUAACAAAUAAAUAAUUACUCUACACAACCCUAUUCUAUCUUUUAAAAUUAUUAUUUUGUCCCUUAAGAUAUCCAUUAAUCUUUUUAUGUAUUUCUAAUAUACAUGCUAUAUAUAUAGUAAAAUGAUAUAUAUAUAAUCUACACUAAAUAUGAGAAGAUUAUAAAUAUAAUAAUCUAUAAUUACUAAUGAAAAUUUUGGUUUGUACCGUUCACAUUGGCCGGAACAUGGUACACCUACUACUGCUGCAUGAAUAAUGUUAAAAAAUAUAAAUAGUUUAACUAUUUUCUAUUAGACUAAAUAUUUAAUUGAAAUGUAUUGACCAAUAAAAAAAAUAUUACACUAGAAAGUAAAAUUUAACAUUUUAAAUUUUUUUUGGAGCAUACUUUUUCAUUUAAAAUAUAAAAAUUAAAAUAUAAUAGAAAAAAAACCGACUCACCUCAUUAUCAUACAGCUUUUCUUAUUGAAAAAACCCCCACAUCCUUCAAUUUCUUUUUUUCUUCUUAAUUUUGAAUUUAUUGAAUGAUGAGUUUUUACUUGUCGAGUUUAUUAAUCAAUAUUUUAUGUAAUUGAUUAAUAGUUUUAUAUUAGAAAUUUAUUUAUAAUAAUUUAUUUGAUAUUUGUAUAUUUAUUUAUAUAAAUAUAUUAAACAUUUUAGAAAAUAUCAAUAAAUUCAAAAUGGUAUAUAAAAUAGACCAGUACCAAUACAUACCAGUUCUCAUAGAAAAGUGGUGCUUCCACCAAUGUGGUAAUGGCUACCUUGAAAGCAACUAUGUGGCAUAGUUAUUUGCAAAGAAAUGGGUUAAAGCAUGUUAAGUUAGUAUUGUGCUGAUCUUUGAGUGUAACCAUUGGGAUAUAUAUGGCUAUCUGAAUUUUUAUGAUUUGCUAUGCAUUGAUUGUGGUUGUUUUAGAUUGAGAAAAAAAAUAAAAAAUUCGAAACACAAAAAAGAAAGUAGAGAAAGUAAACCCAAUGAUAUACGUGGUUCGGGAAUAUUCCAUACAUCCACGGGCAGAACUAAAAACGAAAUUGACUACUAAAAAUUAGAGAUUACAAUGGAAUUACAUCAUAAAAUAAAAUACCUCGCCAAUAACUAUCCACAAACUUUGAAUGGAUUCAUGGUCUGAGAAAUUCGGAAAACUAAGAUGGACAUCUUUGAGAUUGGACAGAACAAUACUUUGGGAACUCUGUCGUCAUACAUGUGUUAAUUUGAGCUCUCUAAUGCCAUGUUGUAACGUGUACUGUAUCCCUCCAUUAAUCCUGGAAGGAUCAAACUAUCACGUAAAAGACUUGUUCUUUUGAAAAACCAUUGGUUAAUAGUACUACGAAAUGUCAAAUAUUUUUAACUAAAAUCCCAUUCUCAUAUACCAAAAUAGGUUAGAAAUUAGAAGAUGCAAAUGAAAACAGAACAUUCAAUUUGCUGAAUAAAUGUUGCAGAGAAUUGACUAACCGCUUUACUAAAUCAAAUAAGCUGAAGCAGAUGAGUUGAAGUUCACUAUUUUCUGCCAAUUUAGCCUUCAAUGCCUGCAAAAAUUGAAUACAAAAUAUCUAAGACUCAUUUAUGUUACCAUGUUGUUCAUGAGGACAAUCAGAUAUAUAUAAAAAAAAGUUAUGAAAUUUAUAAAUGUUUAAAAUGCGGUUUCACACCUGUGGUUUGAGUGUAGAGAAAUCGAUACCAGAUUUUGCUGCUUAAAUUUCAAUACCUCGGGAUGACUAAUUCAAAAUCAAUUUGAACAAAAGGUAUGUGGGAAAUCUUGGACCACUCUUGUCCUUUACCCCUACUGCACCCUUCUAGCAACGGGCAACGCUGAAUAUCAAGACGCUCAAGCGAGAGAAGCUCAUUAAAUUUAUAUAUUUUUUAAAUCACUUCAAAAUAUAUAGAAAACUUAAAGUACAUACAAUAUCAGUUAAAAACAUUAAUUUUUAUUUAUUUUGAGGUGAUAUAAUAAAAAAAAUACAAAUUUAAAAGCUAAUUAUUUUUCAUAAAGUUAGAUAGCUAAAUCUUUAUGUAUUUCUUUUACGAGACCAAAGUGGAUUAAAGUGUCUGUAACUCUAAAAUGAAUGUACCUUCUUAUGGCUUCAUGCACUAUUAGUCAGAAUGCAUCAAACACAAAUCUUAAGAUUAAAUUAAAUUCUGUAAAAUACUAAUACAAAUAAAAAUAUUGAAAUUCAGAAUAAAAAUACUGAUGUGACAUUAAAUUAUUGAAAAUAGAUACAAAUGUCAUUGUAUCUUUUUACAUCAUGUUUUUAUAAUAUAUGAUGUGAUCAUAAAUUAAACUCUUAAUUAUAGUGAUUAAUGUUCCAUUUUUGCAACUAAAAUCAAUAAAAAAUGAAAUUUAAUAAAUUGUAUUUUUUAUUGGAAAACAUCUUUAUAUUAAUUAAUUAUGAGAACACCUUUUUUAUGGAGAAGUGUUUGAUAAUAGGCCCAAUUGAUAUAUUUAUUGGGCUUAAUUUUGAUAAGUUCUUUAAUAAGAUGUGAUUAAUUUUAGAUUUAUUAUUUGAUUUCUGAUUUGGUGUAAAAAUAAACUCAAAAAGUGGAAAAGAAUCGGAAAUACAAGUUAUCGUAAAAGUUUUGGAUUGAAGAACUAGUUGGACCAUGAUCUAUUAUACUUUUUUAUAAAUAUUAUUUUGAGUUUUAAUAAUAUUUUUUAUGUAUAUUAUACUUUUUGGUUUUGGGCAGAAUUGGAUUGCAAAUGGAAUUUCUUUUCUUCUAUAUUUCUAAUUAUGUUCUUUCUUUUUCUCUUGUAUAAUAUUUCGCCGCCACGCCACCUUCCCAUUUUCCCCUUCUUUUAUUUAAUUCUUGUUGAAUUAUUAGGGGUGUGUAAAUUUCGGGUAAAACCGAAUUAAUUCGGUUAACGGAUUGAAUUCGGUUAAUCAAACGGUUAAUCGAAUUAAUUCAGUCAGAAGUCAAUUAAUAAUUUUUUGAAAGUUUAGUUAAUGAUUAAUUAGAUAAUUAUUGAAGUGAACAAAGACAAAAUGGAAACCCAGGGACCAAAAUAGAAAGAAAGAGAGAUGGACUCUGUAUAAUUAGUGAAAGUUGAAGAAGUUGGCACAAAGGUUUUUUUUAGCAUCCAAUAAUUCAGGCUAUCACUUGGAAGACAUUGGAUUAUAGUUUUUUAUUUUUAAAAUUUAAAAAAUUAAUUAAGUGAACGUUAAUAAAGUAAAAAAAAAAGUUACAAAUUUAAGGGCUAAAAAAUAAAAAUUUAAAUAGAGAACUAAAAUGAUUUUUUUAAAGUUAAAAAGUCAAAUAAACUAUUAUGUCUUUCUUUUAUUGAACCAAAAUGAAUUAAAGUGUCUGCAAUUCUGAAAUGGAUGGACUUAGUAUUUAGAUGCAUUAUUAUUUUUACUGGAGAUCGGGAAUAUAUGGACUUUCUAUGGGCCCAUUUAACUGAUAGAUUUUAUUACCACUUUAGCAACUUUGGCGAUUUAAUCAGUUACUCGAGAUUCGCAAUUAUUUUAUUUCUUGAUGCUAGCAAUAUACAGUGAUCAAAUAGGAUCAUUUCUUCUGAAGACCUUUUAUUUUUUUCAUCAUGUGGGAGUUUGAAUUAAUUCUCAUUUAUCUACUUCUAUCCAUGAUGGGGAAGAACCAAAUAUUGCAAAUUCAAGCAAUUCCGAAUCCACAGCUCUUUUAAAGCAGGAGGAAAGUUACUCUCUGCAAAACAAACCAAGCGUGAACAGCUUUCAAGUUGCAUGCUUGUAAUGAAUGGGAAAGCAUGUAAGGCUUCUGGUAGUCUAUUGAGCCUUUCACAAUCAUUUAUGUUCAGAUAUUCAACACCUGGAAUCUUUUCAAGUUGCAAUCUCUCCUCCUCUGUUUCCAAAGAGACCAAUUUGGGACAACCCGAAAUCCUAAUAAAACGAUGCCCGACUAAUCUUAACCCAAUUUGCGAUAAAGAUCCCAACUCCUUCCAACCAAAGAUGUAGAAUGUUUCGGGGUUUGCAAAUCUCAACAUUAUCCUCUCUGCUGAAAUAUUAAAAUUUGAAAUAUUUGAAAGAGACACAUCUUUCAAGGAGGUAACCUUCUGUACAGAUAAAGAACCUUCAUCCACCAAUUCUUCACAUCCAUUAAUUCUUAAUUCACAUAAUGAUGAAAAACUUGAAAUUGAAACUGCCAGCCUCUUACACUCACAGAUUUCAAGUGUCUGCAAGGAUUGAAGGAUGGUUGGCAACCUUCCCAACAAUACAGAACAACUUUUAAUUGAAAGCUUACGAAGGCUGGGAAAUUUCGAAACUUGCUCAUCGUCUUCACAUAGGUUCCACUCCUCCCAAUUCAGCAUAUUGUCAAAACACAGAGACUCUAAUGAUGCAAAAGCAUUUGAUUGAUUUUCUCCAAACAACUCAGCACCAAUCUUGUGUACUUGAUCCAAUCCACUAAUUGAAAGAUCUUUUAACAACAACAACCUUCCAAUCGAUGGUAGAGAUUUGCCAUUUUUACAGUCGUGAAGCUCCAAUGACAACAUAUUUUUGAAGGAAGGAUCUGCAAUCCAAGUAGAGAAUUUUGCACCACCAUAAUUAUGAAUGGCGAGAUGCUCAAGCUUUUUUGGAGGACGAAGAGAGUCCAACACCCAUUCUUCAACUUCCUUAUUCCUUGAAGCCUUUUCAAACUUUUCACUCCAAUGCAAUACCAAUCGAUGAAUCCCCUGCUUCUCAUUUAACUUGGCUUCCCCUGCAUCUUCACCAUUAACAUUCUCCAACCCAGAAAGACGGAAAUCACCUUUGAGGUUUGACAAAUAUUUCAAACCUCUAAUAUAACAACCAUCACCUUCCCCUAUUAUAAGAUCAGUUAACCUUUGAAGUUUCGUUAGCUUAUCAAUUCUAAAAGGCAUCCUUUCUAUUAAGCGGGCACCUCUGAUAUCAAGAUAAUGCAAGUUGACAAGAUUUUCCAUCUUUGAAGGUAACCUUUGAAGCUUCCAACACCGUCUCAAUAAUAAAGUUUCCAAAUGGUAAAGAGUGCACAAAGAAUCAGGUAAGCAUUUGAUAGGGGUGUUGGAAAAAUUCAAGUAGCGAAGAUGUUUUAAAUUUUCAAAAACAUCAGGCAACUCAGUGAUUUUAUACCCACUCAAAGAAAGCAUCCUUAAGUAGCCAAGUCUUGGUAACAAAUCAACCAAAACAACAUUAGUUAAAAAAGGCCCCCGAUAAUAAUCACUAGAAAACAUUAAGGGUAAAAAAGAACGUAAAGAAUUCACUUGAUCAAAUGCUUCAAACUUCUUCACUGUGUCAUAUCUUCCAGCAAUAUAAGAAGAAUGUCGAGUGCGAUUUGAGAACUUCCAUUUCUUAUCACCCUCUAAUUUUGAGCAUACUUCCCCUGCAACUACUUGAGCUAAAUCAUUGAUAAGGUCAUGCAUUACGAAGCGGGACUUAUCUUCACUGGAUGUCUGAAAAAAUGACCUGGACACUAGAUCUUGAAAAUAUUGAUUUCCGAGAUCUUUAAUUUGAGGCAUAGCUUUUUGUUGCAAGAGACCUUCUGCUUUCCAUAACAAGAUAAUUUCUUCUUCCUCAAAUUCAUAAUCUUUAGGAAGUAUGGAGCAAUAUGCAAAACAUCGUUUCAAGUAUGACGGAAGAUGAUGGUAGCUUAAUCGCAAAGCUGGAAUUAUGCCACACUGCUCUUCUGGUAAGUUCCAUAUCUCACUCUCAUAUAUUCUUUCCCAUUUUCCAUGAUAUUCAACCGUGCGAAGCAAGCUUCCAAUGGCUUUUGCAGCCAAAGGUAAGCCAUUGCACCUUCUAACAAUUUUCUCUCCAAUUUCUUUAAACUGGAGAUGUCCAUCGAAAUUUCUUGCUUUUAAUGCAUGCUGUGUAAAUAUGGAUAAACAAUCAUCAUCCGGUAGUUUAUCCAAAUGAAAAGCUUUGAGCGGAUCCACAAUAGAUGAAACAAUUUGAAGACGAGUGGUUACAAUGAUAUGGGUCCCUGCUCCAAACGGAGACCGUAAGAUGGUCCAGUCAUUAUAAUUCUCGUUCCAAAUGUCAUCUAAAACAAGCAAGAAUCUUUUCCCAGACAACUUCUCCUUUAACUUAACUUGAAGUAAAUCCAAGUUACUGUAAUCACAUGACUCAGAAGUGAUGGACUGUAAAAUUGCCUUUGUUAUAGCAAUUGCAUCAAAAUUAUCAGAAACGCAUACCCAGGCCUUGAGAUCAAAAGACUCGUUGAUGGUGGCGUCAUUGUAAACAAGCUGAGCAAGAGUUGUUUUACCCAUCCCUCCCAUGCCGACAAUGGAAAGGACUGAAACUCCGUUGGAGUUAUCACCUUUGAGAAACUCAAUCAUUUCUGUCUUCUCCUUUUGUGCCAACAUACUCCACAACACCAUCCAGUACGGAAGUUGGUUGCAGCCUAGGUUGCGUUCCCUUGGAGGUUGGAGCUUGAGACAAGAUCUCACUCAACCCCAGACUACUUCUUCUAGUAGUCAAACUAUUCAGUCGAGCAGUGAUGUCUUUCACCUUGGGAAUCAUGGAAUUCUUAAACAGGAAAGAAGUGGGAGUGAAAUUACUGCUGGUACAGCAGGUAGGAAUGAGUUUCCGUACCUUGCUAGUGCUGACUUGAGCUUGCGAUUUGUUGAGCUUGAGACUUAACUCUUCAUAAGCGAACUCAUCCAGGAUGUCAUCCACAUCGUAAGCCAAGUCCUGGAGAUCCUCCAACCUUUUCUUCACGCCCUCGUUCUUGAUCUGCUUCUCCUCUGCAUCGUCCAACACUGCUUGGAUAUCGGGCAAUAUGGACUGCCACUGCUUGAGCUGUGGGCGGAGUUGCUUAUGAUCAGCAACAAAGUUGAGCGCAGAGUCGAGCAACUUGCCCCCCAACAGCUCCAGAAACACAGACAGAGUAGCCUCUCCAAUGACAGACAUGGUGAAAUUAUGCGAAGGAAGCAGAAGAGAGAAUUGAAGAAGCCAAAUGGAAUUUCAGGAACGGAAUGGAGAUUGUGUAUAAUCAGUGAAAGUUGAAAAAAUCAGAGGAGGAGGCAGUGAGCUGAUAGUCUGAUAAAUAAAAUAGAGCCCAACUGGUUUUUGGGCAGUGAAACUAACAAAGAAGGCGGAAAAAUACAUUGGCUGAGCCGGCCACCCACGUUGUUUAUGAAUUUUGAUGCUUUUCUCCAUUAUCCCAAUUUCCAAGUAAAUGAACGUUCAGUUCCAUGGCAAUGGCAUCUAAUGUCCAUAUUUAUACUUUAAUUAACUGCCACAUUUCAGUCUUUGUUUUUGGGAAUGAAGACAAAUUCAUCCCUUUUUUUUUUUUUAAUUUCCAAAAUUUCAUCCCAUUUUAAUUCUUUUUAAAAUGUAUAUUAUUUUUAAUUUAAUAUUUUCUUUUAAUUUUUUGUAAAUUUUUUUUAUUAAAAUUUAAAUGUAUCUUUUAAUGUUUAUAUUAUAAUACUAUAUAUUUAAUUUAAUUUUAUAUAAAUUACAUUCUAUAUAUAUGAUAAAGUAGAAAAUGGGUUGGGCUUGGACAUUUUAAUUUUGAAGCCCAGCUGAUUUUAAAUAAGUUUUUUUUUUUUACUUAAACUUAUUUUUCAAGCUUUAUUCUUUUUAUUUAAACCUUUUUAUAUUUUAAGCGCAUCUAGAACAAAAGAAAAGCUUGUGGAAAGCACAUGAUUAGCAAUUAGAAUUUGUCACAUGUAAAAGUAUAAUAUAUUAUAUAUAAAUUUAAAUUUUAAAAAUAAUAUUUCAAAUAUAAAUUUUAUAUUUUUGAGAAAUAAUAAUAUUUUUAAAAAGAUGGGUAGAUUUUUUUAAUAAUUAAAAAUUAGUGAAUAAUAAUGAGUAGUUUAGUUUUUGAGAAAAAAAAUAAAGAAAUAGUUUUAAUUGAGAAAAUAAUUUUUUAAGAAGUUAGUUUAAGAGUAGUGAAAUAAUUUAAUUUAUUUUAUAAAAUGUUGAAAUGAUAUAAUAAUAUUAGAUUUUUCAUGCUUUUACUAAUUGAGUUUGUGUCACUCGAUUUGAUGUAUCAAAUUUAAUUAGACAUUUUAUCAUAGUAUAAAUAAUUAUCUUGUAAUUAUAUGUAUUCAAACUAACUUAAUUUUUAAAUCCGUCACCAAUCUUUAUAUUUUUUCUCUCUUAUAAUUAUAUUUUUACAUAAUGUUUUUAUAAUAUAUGAUAUGAUCAUAAAUUAAACUUGCAUUUUAAUAUAUGAUAUAAUUAAGUGGUUGAUGUAAAUAGUACUUAAACAAAUAACUACAUGGAUGGUGAGGAUGAGUAAAAACUUUUAAUAUCUUUUGUAUGUGGUGUAUUACUCUGUAGUAUACACUUAAUGGGUUGGCCUAUAUGAGUGUGUUGUGAGGCCGCUUCUAUGAGAUCUUUGGCAAUCUUUAGAGCACUCAUAAAAACUAGGCACGCGCAUGACCUAUUAGCACACAAUCGCAUUGAAGAAUGAAUCAUAAAUAUAAUGUGAUAAGUGAGAAAAUUAAUUUGGAAAUUAAAUAAUUAGUUCAAAAACUUAUUUCAUCAAUUAUUUAAGUAAAUCAUGUCUCAUUUGUUAAAAAAUUAUGUAUUCUCUUUAGAAAAACCUUCCUCCUACAAUCUCAAUUGAGUGUUUAAUUGGUCCGCUCUUUAGAAAAGCCUUCAAGGAUAAUGAUAUUCACGCCUCAAGUCGUGAUUCUAAUUUUCUAAACCUCCGAUUUCUUAAGAGAACGUCAAGGGCAACAACCAGUCAAAUUUUAAGUUCAAUUAAAUGAAUUCACAAACUUAUAGAGUUUAUUAUUAUUAUUUUCAAUGCAAGCUUGAAUUAUAAUCGAGCUUGAAUUAUAAGUCAAAUUUUAAUUUUGUUAUUCAAGCUUUAUCUCAAAUCAAGCUCAAGCUUUAAAAGGGAAAUUUAAUUGAGUUUGAGCUAAAUUUUAAGUAUCGAAUUUUAAGUUAGCUCAAAAUUUUCAAGUUAAGCUUUGACUUGAUUACACGGUAAGUGUAAAUCGUACAAAUAUAAAGUAUAAUAUAAUUAUAUAUGUACAAGCCCAAUUUUUGACCUGGGGCCCAACAAGCCCAAAUACAACCAAACCAAAAUUAAUUAACAAUCCAAUUACAUUCAACAACAUGCCCAAAUUCCAUUUUAACCCAAUUACAAGCCCAAACACUACAACCCAAUACCUCAGCCCAAAACCCAAAACCUAAACACCUAACAGAAACCCUAGCCCCCAAACCACUUGCUGCUGCUGCCGCCACUCCUCUACCACCUGCUCUCUGCCACCCCACAACCACCAUCACCACCUGCAAGGAAAAGAAAGAAAAGACAGAAACCAAACGAGCAGUUGAAACAGUAGAAGAAAGUAAAAAUGUAAACCGGCUAUAAAGGCCAUGAAACUAAAUGUAAUGAGGGAUUUUUUUUGAAGAUUUUUUCUUCUUCUCUUUCGGCAAAGGCCAAACAAUGUAAAAGGGGAAUUCUCUUUUUCUUUCUUUUGUAACAUUUCACAAAACAAGCAAUAUAAAAAUCAAAGGUGAUUGUCGUUUUGCAUUUUUUCUUUUCUUUUCUAUCUCCUUUUUAUUGUUGUUUACUUUUAUUUUUAUUUUUUUAAAAAACACAGUUUACAUUUGCAAAAAAAAAAAUAAAAAGAAAAAAUAUAAAGAGAAAAAAAAUACCUUUUAUGAUUCGGUGGCCGGCGCAGUGGCGCUACGGUGGUGGCCCAUGGCCGGACCUUAGGCCGGAGUUUGGACUGAAAGAGGGGAGGGGGAGAGAACUUUAAGUUUGUUUUUCUGAAAUAACAAGGCAAAUGAAAUUUUUUUAUUGAAAAUUGGCUUAAAUAGGCUACCAAAAUGACGUCGUUUUGGGUAGCCUUCUCAGGCACCAAAACGGCGCCGUUUUUCCUUGGAUCAGACCGACCCGACCCGAACCGCCUAGGAUCCGCGUGGUUCUGGAUAAAAGGGGUUAUUUGCGCCCCUGGUCCUUACACUUUUGAGGCUGUUUACAAUUGGAUCCUAUUUUGUUUUUAAUUUUUCAAUUUUGCCACAAAAUUCCAUUUUUUCUCGAUUUCGUCCUCAAUGAAGCUGUGCGUUUUAGAGGAGAAGGGAAAUUUUCCCUUCCAUCCCCUCUAUGUUAUUCGCGCAUUUAAAUCAAUCCCUUCUUUUUUAUUUAUUUCGAAUCUGCCCCAAAUUUCUGCCUUUUAAUUCGAUUUAGCCCUUUAAGCUUGCUAUUUUAUUUUUAAUUAAUUAAUAAUAAUAUUAUUAUAUUAUUAUUGAUAUUACAAUCAAAUAUUUGUACAUUAUAUAUUUAUAUUCUAUAUGUUGUAUCCUAUAUACGUAUUAAUGUAUGUUGUUAUUACAUACAUAUUUUAAAACAUAUACAUAUAUAUAUACAUAUCUAUAUUUUAUGAUCUAUGUAUAUAUGCAUGCAUUUUAUUAUCUGAAUAUACAUACAUAUUUUAGGAUAUAUAUAAGCAUACAUUUAUCCCUUUAUUAUUAUUUAUGUACAUAUUUAUGUAUUUGUAUACUUCCCUAAUAUAUAUUAUAUUUUAUACUUUAUAUUAUGUAUGUCCUAUAUAUACGUUUUAAUUUUCAUAUAUACAUACUUACAUAAUUUUUCAUCUAUAAUAAUUUGCAUAUAUUUUCCAUAUUUUCAUAAUUUUAUACAUAUAUGUACGUAUUUAUAUAUCUUUUGUAUUUUUAUGAUUGUGUUAAUUUUGUUCAUUUUUUCAUAUGUCUAUUAUUGUUUAUUUUCUUACUUUAGUUUCAUAUUAUUUGUUAUUUUGCUCGUAUGAUUAUUUUUUAUUGUUUAUUGUUUAUUUGUUUCAUUUUAUUUACAUUGCAUCAUUAUUGUUAUUUUACACCUACUUUUACUCGGAUUUAUCAAAAACGGAAAAUUUUAAAAAUGUAAGUAAUACUCGGUAUUUGGGAUCUUCGAGAGAAUUGAGCCCUAACGUAUUGGGUUCCGAUUUUCUUCGUUGAACCUAAAUAAUCGAGAUUACUCUUUUAAAAAAAAUGAUAAAAAGCUCGUUAUCAAGAAUUCAAUACGUUGUAACCUAACGCAUUGGAUGUGACACGUUGUUUUCUCGAGACGAGAAUUUUUCGAAAUAAAUGCAAUAUUUAAUGUUUAAUAUUUUGAGAAAUUGUGCCCUAACGUAUUGGGUUGCGAUUUCUUCAUUUGAUUUAAACAAUUGAAUAUUCUUUUAAACUUUAUUAUACAAUUUUUUUUAAAAUUCAAGUUUUAAACAAUAUCGGGAAUUAAAAAAAGGAUUGUGUCCUAACUUACUGGUCGUGAUCCCUUUUUAAAUCCAAGAUAAUUAAAUAUCUUUUAAAUAAGCAUUUUUUAUUCGCGUAUCGAGAAUUCGAGACAUUGUGUCCCAACUUACUGGAUAUGAUUUUUUUCUCGAAUAACGUGAAAUAUCCCCUUUUUCUUGAAAAUUUUCAACGUUUUAAUAAAAUGAUCGUAUUUUUAAAAUUCUCCAAAGUUCUCAAUUUUCGACAUUAAGACAUUAAGUAAUCAACUAGGUACCAAUUUUGGGCGUAUCGAGGGUGCUAAUCCUUCCUCGUGCGUAACCGACUCCCGAACCCGUUUUUUCUGAAUUUCGUGGACCAAACUUGUUGUUUUAAUAAAAUCAAACCGUUUAUUAAAAAUAACCACUUUUCGAGGUGAUCCAAUCACACCUCAUAAAAAAGAAUUGGUAGCGACUCCCGUUUUAUUUUUUAAAACCCAAGUCAACCCCGUUUUCCAUCUAAAAAAUGGUGUCAACAAUAUAAAUUUUGAUACUAUAAUAAUUUCAAUUUUAAAAUUUUAACACAACUAUGGUCUAGAAUGUCCCAUUAUCAAGAAGCUUAGAAAUUAGAAGAUGCAGAUGAAAACAAAUCAUUCAAUUUGCUGAAUAAAUGUUGCAGAGAAUUAAGUUAUAGCAAAUCAGUUGAAUAUAGCUUUCAGUGCCUGCAAAAUUAAAUACAAAAUAUAUACGAUUGAUUGCUAUUAUCAUCUUGUUCCUGAGGACAGUCAGAUACAUGGAACGAAAACAGCCAAUGUUUAAAACGGUUUCAUACCAGUGAUACAACAUAAGGUAUGUGGGAAAUCUUGGACCACUCUCGUCCUUUACCCCUAAAAGUGGACAUAAUUAAGAAGGAAAACUUGUCUGUGAUAGAAAAUGAGGGGCUUUAGUUAAAUUACAACUAACCAGGAUGAACUCUGUUUCUGGAUUGAAAUAUUGGAAUUGGUAAUCAGUGACUUAUUCACUAAGAACUAACUAUUCUGUCACCUUAUAUUCUUCCUAUAAUUUCAGGUUUAAUCCUGUUGAUUUAUACAUUCAGUCCACUGCAAUAUGAACCCAUGAAAACCACACUAAAUGAAACUGACUGUUUAAGGAUCCCAUUCAUAUGAUGCAGCACUGUAAUGGGUAAUUAAACUGACUGUUUAAUCCUGUUUCUGUACACUAUGCUUCUUCAAAAUCAUGCCUAGCCGAACUCUCUGACAUUGUGGACCGCAAGCGCACUCAAGGACAUAUUGUUCUUCCCAUCUUUUACCAUGUUGAUCCCUCUGAGGUUCAGCAUCUUAGUGGGGGUAUCAAGACAUUCUUUGAUAACCAUGAAUCAAAGAGGCCUGUUGAUUAAGUCUGUAAAUUAAUUGGGUGUUCUUGAGAAUGAUCUUCUUCCAUUCCUUUGUUGUAUCUCGAAAGAGUGUGUUCCACGCUACAUUCAUAAAAUGUCAUGUUUAAAAAAAUAACAAUAAAUUAAAAAUAAAAUUCACAAUAAAUUAAAAAUAAAAUUCUAACUCAUUAUUAGGGUUUAGGUUUUUUUUUUACCUAUAUUGUUUGGACUUGAGCCGAUCAAAUUAUGACAAGUUAUUCUUAGCUUAUCGUAACUAUUUAUGUAUCAUUUUUGUUUUAAUAUGAGUGUUGACACCAUUUUUUUGACGAAAACGGGUCGACUUGGGUUUUGAAAAAAAGAAACAGGAGUCGCCACCAAUCCUUUUUAAUGAGGUGUGAUUGGAUCACCUCGAAAAGUGGUUGUUUUUAAUAAACGGUUUUAAUUUUAUUAAAACAACGAUUUUGGUCCACGAAAUCUAGAAAAACGGGUUCGGGAGUCGAUUACGUACGAGGAAGGAUUAGCACCCUCGUAACGCCCAGAAAUUGGUACCUAGUUGAUUAGUCAAAGUCUUAAUAUCGAAAAUUAGAAAAUUUAAAAAUUUAAAAUACGAUCCUUUGUCUUAAAAUGACUUGUAUAAAAUAGGUUGCUUAUAUUAAAAAAAAAACUCCUACAACAAAAUUAAAAAAGGGUAUUCAAUUGUUCGAGUCAGAUGAGGAAAUCGCAACCCAAUACGUUAGGGAACAAUUUUUUAACAUUUCGAACAUUGAACAUUGCCUUAGUUGUUUUUAAGAAAAUCCUUAUCUCGAAAAAGCAACGUGUUACAUCCAAUGCGUUAGGACACGACAUAUUGAAUUCCCGAUAAUGAGCUUUUUAUUUGUAUUUUUUUUAUAAAAGAGAAAUCUCGAUUAUUUUGAUUCAACAAAGAAAAUCGAAACCCAAUACGUUAGGGCUCGAUUCUCUCGAAGAUCUCAAAUACCGAGUAUUGCUUUUAUUUUGAAAUUUUCAUUUUUUGACAAAUCUGAGUAAAAAGAUGCAACAUAACAACAAUGAUGAUAAUGUGAGUAAAAUGAUACAAGCAAGAGCUACAAAAUAAAAUAAAUACAAGGACAAACUAAUAUAGUACACAAUUGCAAGCAUAUAAGCAAUAAAAUUAAAAACAUUCUUUCAAAACAAAUAAUGAAAAUGUACAUAAAGAAAUAAACAAAGUAAAUGUAUAAAGCUAUAAAAAUAUAAAAGAUACAUAUAUGUGUAUAUACAUAAAAUUAUGAAAAUAUGAAAAAUAUAUGUAUGUACAUAUGAAUUAUAAACUAUAGAAAUCACAUACGAAAAUAUAGAUUUUUUUAAAUAUAAGAGUAUAUAUAAAUACGUAUGUGCAUAUUUAUGAAAAAAAAACAGAUACAUGUAAGUAAGUAUAUACAUAAAAACUUUAAAAUGCAAAUAUAAAUACAUUCAUGUGUAUAAAUUAUAAAAUAAUAAAAAAAGGUGUAUAUAUGCAUGUAAAUUAAAUAUGUACACAUGAAUGUAUAUAUAGAAGCAAUUAUAUUAAUAUAAUAAUAGUAAUAAUAAUAUUAAUAAUGACAACGCUAAUAAUAAUAAUAACAUUAAAAUAAUUAACUAAAAUAAUAAAAGUGCUAAAAUAUGAACUAAAUCGAAAUAAAAAUGAAAACAUUGGGCGAAUUUAGAAUAAAAAGGAUUAGAUUGCAACACGCUCAAAAAGGGGAGGGCCAAAUAGGUAAUAAACCCGAUUUUAGGCCACGCGUCCCUCCCUCAGGUGUCCAAUCGAAUUGAGGACUAAAUUAAAAAAAGGGACAAAUCCGUGGUCCAAAUUAAAGGAGGAGAAAAAACAAAUGGUCCAAAUUGAAACAGAUCGAAAAUACGGAAGGGCUUGAAGCGCAAAUAACCCCUUGAAGGCUAAAACAUGCGGACCCUGUUUGGACGGGUCGGGUCGCCCGCGGGUUGCGCUAAACGGCGCCGUUUUGGCCGAUAGGCUCGCCCUAAAACGACGUCGUUUUAGGGGCCUAUAAAAGCCCACUUUUAGAAAAAAAAAUCAUUUGCCUUUUGUUUCAGAAAAAAAAGCUUUAAGUUCUCUCUCAACCUUCCCCUUAGCCGGCCAUGGCUCCGGUCAUCGGCCACCGCACCGGCCGCCGGAUGUCGGUGACGGCGCCGCCGUCCGCGGUGGCCGGAAAACCAAAAUACUCCCUUUUGUUCCUUUUUUCGAAUAGAGCCCAGAUCUGGGGUCAAAACUACCAGAAAAACCCGGCGACAAGGGAUAAAAUCGGAAGAGACCUUUCGGUUCUUCCUCCUCACAUCCGCCGAAAUCAGGUAAGACUCUCCCCUUUAUUUUAUUUUAUUAUCUUGUUAUAUUGAUUAAAUGAAAAUGAAAAGAGAAAGAAACAAUGUAGAAAAACUGAAAUAGAACGAAAAUAAGAAAAAAAGAAGUCGGAAAAAUCACUGUAAAUCACCUUCUAAAAACCUUUUUUUAUUUCUUCCAAUUUUUUUCAAAAAAAGCCCUUUACAUGUUUUUAGUUUCGGCUUUUAUAGCGGAUUGUUUUACAUUAUUUUAUUCCUAUUUUGUUGCUUUUCUCUGUUGUUGCGUGUCCUUGCAGGUACUUUGAUGGGAGUGGUUGGUGGUGGUUGCGGCGGUGGCAGGGAGUUGGUGGCUGAAAACCCUAGGUGCGGCGCACCUAAGGUUGCUGCUACUUGCUCUUUUUUCUUUUCUGAACAUGGGCUAGGGUUAGGUAGAUUGGGUUUGGGCUUGUUGGGCUAUUUUGAUUUGGGUUAAACUGUUAAUUGAUUUAGGUUAUGGUGUUUGGGUUUUUUUGGGCUGUUUGGGUUUAAUUUGUUUUAGGUUUGGGCCCGGGAAAAAUUUGGGUCUUACAAUGAGUAUGUGUUGUUGAGUUUUAGUAUAUAGUUUCGUAUUUAUCAUUUUUUAAAAUAUUAUAUAUAUAAUAUACUCGCAAAUAUUUCUUAAUUAUAAUAUGUAAAUAUAAAUUUUAAAAUUAUUAAUUAAGUUCAAUAAUUUAAUAAAUGGUUAUAUAUUAUUUUUAAAGCAAUUAUAUAAAAAAGUAGUUAAGAAAGAAAAGGGAAAUAUUAAAAAUUCCUUUAUAGGAAUUAAUACUCACCGGUACAAGCAUAUAUUAAUUGAAAUGAAUCAAAACUCAAUGAAAUUUUAAUUGAAGUGAAACUUAAACUAUUUUAUUCUAGUUCAAUAUCGAGACAAUUCGUAAUGAUUGAUACAACCAGUAUCGAAACUACCGACUAUCAUGCUACAAAGCGAAAAGAAAAAUAAUGGAAAUCAAUCAAAUUACAACUCAACUUACUUUCAUGCUUAAAAAAAGAAAACAGUUCUAAAAAAUAAUCAUCCAAGAAAAUAAAUAUAUAUAAGUUUUAUAGACCGUUGCAAAUUAAUAUACACUCAUAUAAGUCGAUAUUAACUAAAACAAAUCAAAACACAAUGAAAUUUUAACUGAAACGAAACUUAAAAUACUUUAUAUUAAUUCAAUAUUGAGAGGAUAGCCAAUUAUUAAGAAAAGAAAAAUUAUGAAAAUCAAUCAAAUUAUAGGUCAACUUACUUCCAUGCUUACAAAAAAAAUUGCUAAAAUUUAAAAUUGAAAAAAACCCAGAUUUCGAUUAUUAAAAAUCAUCUAUAAUAUAUAUAUAUUAUAUAUAUAAGUAUUAUACUAUAUUAUAUACCUAGUGCUGGACCAUUGAUAGACCUUGCCGGUGCUUGAAAAAGUAAUAACCCCAACCUCUGCAUCACAUAAAAUGGACAAUUCUUUAGCUUUCUUCAACAACCCAUUUCGCCUCUUUGAAAAUGUUACUUGCCUGCUAUUCAAAUUUUCAAUCUUUUUUAUUUCAAUUUUCCCUCUACCCAUCUGAAAAUUUUCUUCUUUCCUUUACUUUUUCCCGGAAAAUUUUUAAAAGAAAAGAUAAACCCCAGAUUUUUUUUUCUUAAAAUUUGAAAAGAACCGAAGGUUUUUAUAACAACAAACAGAUCAAAGAAAAUAAGGAAAAAAAUUUAGGGGAUUGUAAAAGGAUUCUUUUUUGAAGAGAAAAGAAAAUAAGUAAGUAAUGUUUAUAUAUAACAAUGGUUUUCUUAAAUGGAAAUGGAAAAUGAUAUGGAAAAAGAAAAUAUGUGACCAAAAUUAGGGUGAAAUCUUGAAAGGUGACAGAUUUGAUACUAUAUCUACCAAUUAUCCAACUAUGGAAACUCUAUUUAUUAUAGCUUUAGUUUUUUUUCUAUUUAUCUUACUUUCUCUACCUUUUUACUCUGCUGUUUUUGGUAUUUCAACUCAAAAUGGAUUUGAUUUUUGCUUUGGGUUUCUUUUUUUAAAUAUAAAAAGUGGUUUUUAAUUAUUUAUAUAUUAUUAAUGUGUUUUAACAAUUUUUGUUAGUGAAUAUUGAUUUUUUUUUCUGUGAAUUACAAUAGGAGGGCAAAACCCUAAUAACAAUACAACUAGAGCAAUUCGAAUUUAGGCCACACUUGAGACGUUGAACACAAGUAUUUUAGGAGGACAUAUAACACAUGUUUUUUUUUUUAAAAUUCAUGGCUAAAAUAAUAAAAAUAACCUCUUUAUUUUAUUGUAUUCAAAUAAUAAAAAAAAAAACCAUGAUUUUAGUCGUACCGGCCGGUGCCACCGCUCUACUGUUAUAGCACAACAAGCAACACCCUUUUCCUUUGUACAGUUCGCAUUGGCCGGAACAUGGUACACCUACUGCUGCAUGAAUAAUGUUAAAAAAUAUAAAACUUUUAACUAUCUAAAUAUUUAAUUGAAAUGUAUUGACCAAUAAAAAAAUAUUACACUAGAAAGUAAAGCUUAACAUUUAAAAUUUUUUUAGAGCAUACUUUUUCAUUUAAAAUAUAAAAAUUAAAAUAUAAUAAAAAAAACUCACUCACCUCGUUAUCAUAGAAAAAUAUUCACUCACAUCUGUUACCAUGUUGUUCAUGAGGACAAUUAGAUAUAUAUAUAUAUAUAAAGUUAUGAAAUUUAUAAAUGUUUAAAAUGCGGUUUCACACCUGUGGUUUGAGUGUCGAGAAAUCGAUACCAGAUUUUACUGCUUAAAUUUCAAUACCUCGGGAUGACUAAUUUAAAAUCAAUUUCAACAUAAGGUAUGUGGGAAAUCUUGGACCACUCUCGUCCUUUACCCCUACUGCACCCUUCUUCUAGCAACGGGCAACGCUGAAUAUCAAGACGCUCAAGCGAGAGAAGCACAUCUUUUUCUGGAAGAGAGGCGAGCUUAGGACAAUCAUAGAUGCCCAAUUGUUGAAGAGAGGUGAGGUAUUGUAAGCCCUUGGAGCACAUGAAUUCCAAAUUUUCAAAUCUACGGAUGCUGAUAUCGGUGAGAGAAGGAGGCAGCAUCAUUCCUAUAGCUUCUUCUGGAAAUGACACCACACGUGAGCAUCCUUCACCGCUGAUGUUGAGUUCUUGAAGAGAGGUGAGUCUGUUAAAUCCCCAUUCAACUAGUGAUGUAUAAAUUCUGGGUGCGUUUGAGAUUUCAAGUGAUGUGAGGUUGGUAGGGAAACCCUCUUCUGGAAAGGAUAUGUCAGCCGAACACUCCCACACUGAUAAUUCUCGAAGGCAGGUGAAGUUGUUGAUGCACUUGGGAAGGGCUCUAAAAUUUUCACAAUAAUUAAUUGAGAGAACUCUGAGAUUUGUGGUGGGCAACUCACUUCCUUCAAAUGAAACCAGAUUUGGACACCUAGAUAAUUGAAUCUCCUGAAGAUGGCUCCGCGGUAAUGAUUUAAUUUUUUCAGCACCACAAAUGUCAAUGCUUUCGGGAUCAAUGGUUUCAAGGAAGUCUUGGGCUAUGCAUUCCAACACUGGACAAUCCCAAAUAGAUAGCUUUUUAAGCAUUACGGGUAACUUGGCGUUUAAAAAUAAGCUACUUAGCUUUGAACAAUCCCUAAUUUCGAGAUGUUGAAGCCGAUUGCAUAUAUCGCCCCUUGAUGAUAACCAUAUUAGAGAUGGACAGCACCUUAUUUCCAAGUGCAGAAGAAGACAAGUGUUGCUACUCAUACUCUUAUUAUUAUUUUCUUUUUCAUCAACCAAAUAUUGCAAAUUCACGCAAUUCCCAAUCCUCAGCUCUUUUAAAGCAGGAGGAAAGUUACUCUCUGCAAAACAAACCAAGCCGGAACAGUUUUCAAGUUGUAUUCUUGUAAUCAAUGGGAAAGCAUGUAAGGCUUCUGGUAGUCUAUUGAGCCUUUCACAAUCCCCUAUGUUCAGAGAUUCAACACCUGGAAUCUUGUCAAGUUGCAAUCUCUCCUCUGUUUCCAAAGAGACCAAUCGGGGACAACCCACAAUCGUAAUAAAACGAUGCCCGACUAAUCUUAACCCAAUUUGCGAUAAAGAUCCCAACUCCUUACAACCAGAGAUGCAGAAUGUUUCGGAGUUUGCAAAUCUCAACAUUAUCCUCUCUGCUGAAAUAUUAAAAUUUGAAAUAUUUGAAAGAGACAUCUUUCAAGGAGGUAACCUUCUGUACAGACAAAGAACCUUCAUCCACCAAUUCUUCACACCCUUCAACCCUUAAUUCACACAGAAAGGGAAAACUUGAAAUUGAAACUACCAGUCUCUUACACUCAUAGAUUUCAAGUGUCUGCAAGGUUUGAAGGAUGGUUGGCAACCUUCCCAGCAAUAGAGGACAUUCUCUGAUUGAAAGAAAACGAAGGCUGGGGAAUUUCGAUACUUGCUCAUCAUCUUCACAUAGGUCCCACUCCUCCCAAUUCAGCAUAUUGUCAAAAUACAGAGACUCUAAUGAUGCAAAAGCAUUUGAUUGAUUUUCUCCAAACAACUCAGCACCAAUCUUGUGCACUUGAUCCAAACCACUAAUUGAAAGAUCUUUUAACAGCAACAACCUUCCAAUCGAUGGUAGGGAUUUGCAAUUUUUACAAUUGUGAAGCUUCAAUGACAACAUAUUUUUGAAGGAAGGAUCUGCAAUCCAAGUAGAGAAUUUUGCACCACCAUAAUUCUCAAUGACGAGUUGCUCAAGCUUUUUUGGAGGACACAGAGAGUCCAACACCCGUUCUUCAACUUCUUUAUUCCUUGAAGCAUUUUCAAACUUUUUCCUCCAAUGCAAUACCAGUCGAUCAAUUCCCUGCUUCUCAUAUAACUUGCUUUCCCCUGCAUCUUUACCAUUAACAUUCUCCAACCCAGAAAGACGGAAAUCACCUUCGAGGUUUGACAAAUAUUUCAAAUAUCUAAUAUGACAACCAUCACUUUCCGCUAUGAUAAAAUCAGAUAACCUUUGAAGAUUCUUUAGCUUAUCAAUUCUAAAAGGAAUCCUUUCUAUUGAGCUCGCACCUCUGAUAUCAAGAUAAUGUAAGUUGACAAGAUUUCCCAUCUUUGAAGGUAACCUUUGAAGCCUGUAACACCUUCUUAAUAAUAAGGUUUCUAAAUGGUAAAGAGUGCACAAAGAAUCUGGUAGGCAUUUGAUUAAUGUGCGCGAAAAAUUUAAGUAGCGAAGAUGUUUUAAAUUUUCAAAAACAUCAGGCAACUCAGUGAUUUUAUACCCACUCAAAGAAAGCAUCCUUAAGUAGCCAAGUCUUGGUAACAAAUCAACCAAAACAACAUUAGUUAAACAAGCCCCCUGAUGAUUAAUAGAAAACAUUAAGGGUAAAAAAGUACGUAAAGAAUUCACUUGAUCAAAUGCUUCAAACUUCUUCACUGUGUCAUAUCUUCCAGCAAUAUAAGAAGAAUGUCGAGUGCGAUUUGAGAACUUCCAUUUCUUAUCACCCUCUAAUUUUGAGCAUAUUUCCCCUGCAACUACUUGAGCUAAAUCAUUGAUAAGGUCAUGCAUUACCGAUCGGGACUUAUCUUUACUGGAUGUCUGAAAAAAUGACCUGGACACUAGAUCUUGAAAAUAUUGAUUUCCGAGAUCUUUAAUUUGAGGCACAGCUUUUUGUUGCAAGAGACCUUCUGCUCUCCAUAACAAGAUAAUUUCUUCUUCCUCAAAUUCAUAAUCUUUAGGAAGUAUGGAGCAAUAUGCAAAACAUCGUUUCAAGUAUGACGGAAGAUGAUGGUAGCUUAACCGCAAAGCUGGAAUUAUGCCACACUGCUCUUCUGGUAAGUUCCAUAUCUCACUCUCAUAUAUUCUUUCCCAUUUUCCAUGAUAUUUAACCGUGCGAAGCAAGCUUCCAAUGGCUUUUGCAGCCAAAGGUAAGCCACUGCACCUUCUAACAAUUUUCUCUCCAAUUUCUUUAAACUGGAGAUGUUCAUCGAAAUUUCUUGCUUUUAAUGCAUGCUGUGUAAAUAUGGAUAAACAAUCAUCAUCCGAUAGUUUAUCCAAAUGAAAAGCUUUGAGCGGAUCCACAAUAGAUGAAACAAUUUGAAGACGAGUGGUUACAAUGAUAUGGGUCCCUGUUCCAAACGGAGACCGUAAGAUGGUCCAAUCAUCAUAAUUCUCGUUCCAAAUGUCAUCUAAAACAAGCAAGAAUCUUUUCCCAGACAACUUCUCCUUCAACUUAACUUGAAGUAAAUUCAAGUCAUUCUCGUCACGAGAGUCAGGAUCGAUGGAUUUUAAAAUUGUCCUGGUUAUAUUAACUGCGUCAAAAUUAUCAGAGACGCAUACCCAGGCCUUGUGGUGGAAAGACUGGUUGAUGGUGGCAUCAUUAUAAACAAACUGAGCAAGAGUUGUUUUACCCAUCCCUCCCAUGCCGACGAUGGAAAGGACUGAAACUCCGUUGGAGUUAUCACCUUUGAGAAACUCAAUCAUUUCUGUCUUCUCCUUGUGUCUGCCAACAUACUCCACAACUCCAUCCAGUACGGAAGUUGGGUGCAGCCUAGGUUGCUUUCCCUUGGAGGUUGGAGCUUGAGACAAGAUCUCACUCAACCCCAAACUACUUCUUCGAGUAGUCAAACUAUUCAGUCUAGCAGUGAUCUCUUUCACCUUGGGAAUCAUGGAAUUCUUAAACAGGAAAGAAGUGGG